UACGGAGGGUGCUAGCGUUGUUCGGAAUUAUUGGGCGUAAAGCGCGUGUAGGCGGCUUUGUAAGUUAGAUGUGAAAGCCCGGGGCUCAACCCCGGAAUUGCCUUUAAGACUGCAUCGCUUGAAUCCGGGAGAGGUGAGUGGAAUUCCGAGUGUAGAGGUGAAAUUCGUAGAUAUUCGGAAGAACACCAGUGGCGAAGGCGGCUCACUGGACCGGCAUUGACGCUGAGGUGCGAAAGCGUGGGGAGCAAACAGG
rnacentral:rRNA from 1 species